GAGGGUAUAGCUCAGUGGUAGAGCACAUGUUUAGCAUGCACAAGGUCCUGGGUUCAAUCCCCAGCACCUCUA
rnacentral:tRNA from 1 species